rnacentral:misc_RNA from 1 species
CUUUCCACAAAGGACAUGCCAGUGACCAAAGCCGAUUCAAUAGAUGUUUUAUGUGAUUAUAUCAUGGCAAUAGAAGACGAUACGACACUAGAACUUUCGUCAUGCUACAUUAUAGGAGAACAUGGGUGCGAAGUUUCAAUCCUUUUAAGAUAGAAAUAUCUGUCAAAGACCUGCAAAACAUAUUAACGACAACUCAAGAUAUGAUUUUAAGAUGUUUUGACAUGGCUGUUCGGCUGCUUGCCAAUAAAGAGUCACGUAGGCCGAAAGAAGAAAUCAUAAAUAAUAGAAAGCAUUAUAUGGACAUGCGUUUUUGGAGAAUGGUUGGUUUUGGUAAACUUCCAAAGUACCAUCAGGAUCCUACAACAGAAGAGUUAGCCAAAACACUCGAUUGUUGGCCAUCAAUGAAUUAUUAUAUCACAUGUUGUAGAUAUGU